rnacentral:rRNA from 1 species
CACGGGGGGAGCAAGCGUUGUUCGGAAUCACUGGGCGUAAAGGGCGUGUAGGCGGUCAGGUAAGUGAGAUGUGAAAUGCCCCGGCUCACCCGGGGACCGGCAUCUCAUACUGCUUGGCUUGAGUACGGGAGAGGAUGUGGGAAUUCCCGGUGUAGCGGUGAAAUGCGUAGAUAUCAGGAGGAACACCGGUGGCGAAGGCGCACAUCUGGCCCGAUACUGACGCUGGAGGCGCGAAAGCUAGGGGAGCAAACGGG